ACACCCGUUUUAUUGCUGUUAUGGGUUUCAGCCGAGCUUAGCCUUGUUCAUUUUUUUACACAAUAGCCAUGUAAAAAAUUGAACACAGCCCACUGAGCACCGCGGCGGGCCUGAGCGAAACGCGCACCGCAAUGCCCUGAAACGCCCUAAAAUUGGCCACGAGGCCUCUUUUUAGGGCAG
rnacentral:sRNA from 1 species